CUCUGUGACUCCUACGGGAGGCAGCAGUGGGGAAUAUUGGACAAUGGACCAAAAGUCUGAUCCAGCAAUUCUGUGUGUUUGAUGAAGGCCUUCGGGUUGUAAAGAACUUUCAGUGGGGAAGAAGCAAGUGACGGUACCCACAGAAGAAGCGACGGCUAAAUACGUGCCAGCAGCCGCGGUAAUACGUAUGUCGCAAGCGUUAUCCGGAAUUAUUGGGCAUAAAGGGCGUCUAGGCGGUCUAAUAAGUCUGAUGUGAAAAUGCGGGGCUCAACUCCGUAUUGCGUUGGAAACUGUUAGACUAGAGUUUUGGAGAGGUAGGCGGAACUACAAGUGUAGAGGUGAAAUUCGUAGAGAUUUGUAGGAAUGCCGAUGACGAAGGUAGCUUACUGGACAAAUACUGACGCUGAAGCGCGAAAGCUAGGGGAGCAAACAGGAUUAGAUACCCUGGUAG
rnacentral:rRNA from 1 species